ACCCUUGGAACAGGGAAUUCACGCAGCUGAAGGGCCAUUUUGCCUGUGUUCCUAACAGCUGAGAACCUUCAGCUGUGCCAAUUUCUCAGUUGCAGAGGCAGAGAGGAAGAAAGGUCCAGUGCAUACUUGUCUUCCUUCCUUUGCAGUCUGUGCAUAUGCUAGUCUGAAAGCAGUAAUCCACUUUACCAAAUCAAGUUAUUUUUAAAAAAUUUUCUGGGAACUGAAGCUGCUGUACCUUUUUCUAAGGUUUCUAAAUAAUAAACAUUUGAAUUUGGUUCUGUGAAAUGAAAUUAUUCUGUUGAGGAGGACGGUUGCUGGUUUGUUCCAGUCUACAGCUGAGAGAGGCUUUCCCACUCAAUCUCUUCUUUUAUGCCAUUUCUUGGAUUUGCAGGUCUCUCUUCUGUCUCCCACUCUUCAAACUUUCUGGACCUCUACACUCUACUUGGUAUUUUCUCAAUUGUUUGUGUGUUAAUGCUGCCGAGAGGGAAAAAUUCCUAAAAGAAGGAGAGGCAAUUUGACUGUGCUGUUUUGUGCUUGCACCUGGGUGACUGGUGGCUGACCAUCCAGCAAGUGGGUAAACAAAAAGCCACAAGCAGUCCUGGAAAAUGGAAACUCUGCCCCUUUAUCUGUUACAAAGCUGCACCAGUCUGCUGAGUGCAAAAAAUGCAUUGUUCAGUAAACCCAGCGAAGACCAUAAGAAGACCCAUCUACUGUCUCCCUACCCUUCCCCCUCUCCUGGAGCGCACAGCCUGCCCAGGCCGGCCCUGCUGCAAAAGGUGCUGAGCCAUAAUCCAGAAGAUAAACCACUGUAAAAGAAGAAAACAGCAAACCAUAGGCUGCAGCUCUUGGACCUCACUUGCUUUUCUUGUCACGUUAUGCUCAGUAUUUCAGACUGGUAAACCUUACCAGCCACAAUUCAGGGAAUGGGGCUGGUGGAAGAAAAGGACAACACUGCUUUGAGCUUCUUUCCCUGUCUGCCCCUUCCAGUCAUGCCCUUACCACUAAACAGUUCUCUUUCAGUAAGUCACGUGAGAGAUCUUAACUGUUAACCAAAUCUAAACUAUUUUUGUUUCUUUUCCAGUAUGCUCUGAUCAGCAGCACGAACCACAAAGAGUGCCCAGCAGAUCCCCAAAUACUAUGUUUUUCAUCUCAUUUUCAUAUCCUUGACUCAUGCAUCCUGUCUAAGCUAAUGUUAGUUUCCUGACUUCAGUGUGUCUGCAGCCCUGGACUGUCAACAAGUGCUGGAGCUAUCCCGUAAAGAUCACUACUCCUCAAAUUUUUUUUAGUCUUCUAAUGACUCUCUCAAAGCUACCUCAUUACACCAAGUUAAAUCUGGAAUCUCUGGAUUUACACUGGAAUAGCAGAGCACUUUCCCCUCCUGUUUUAUGAACAGAAAUUUUGUUGUGGCAGUCUAGAACAUUCAGCUUUGACUUGAUGUCUUGGAAGAAAAUAAGCUACUACCAUGAGCAGUUGCAAUAAUCAUUCCACAUUACACAAUCAUAUCCUGCCCCUUGAAUGAAACAGCCCUAAACAGGAAGAUCUGAUCUGGAAUAGACUCACUACUUUUUGUAAGAUCCUUGCGUCUCCAUUUCCCUGAUAACCUGAACUUCUGUCCAAACUGCUGUUGCGUACGAGAUAGCAUAGCACUGACUUUGCAUUUCUUAUUUGCAAAAACUAAUAAAAUUUAAACAAGCUUUUUAGGCUAGACUUCAGCUUUACCCAAUUCCAACUAGGAGCCCAAGUGGGCAAACUUACACGGAACUACAUGUAUUGCUCUUAUAGUAAUGUCUCCUAUUUAUUUCCAUGGAAAUGACAACAGCUACAAAAAGCACAAGAACGCUAUUUGGUAGAGCAAAUUCUCAGUUACAAAACACUGUUUUUUAACAGUCACCACCAUGAGCUACAGAUAUUCACCAGCCGUGAGCAAUGUACAACGGUAAAUUGUAAGAUGAACAAAAAAAGCCGUGCUGCACUUGUAAACAUUUGCAACAGCAGAGGUGACCCGCUGUUGCUGCUGCCAUGGCUGAAAUGCACCACCUACCACCUCACUAUGCUCACUUCCACUGCAUGGUCUCCAUCAGUGUUCAGCAAGCACUGAUGGAUGUCAAAUGGCACAAUUUUUUUUUCUGCAUGGAAGAAUUCAAUGCCACUCCUUUGCACCCCAUGCACUUCCAAGUCAAAUGUAAUUUUGUCAGACUGUCCCUUUGCUGCCACACUGUCACACAGCAAUAAAGUGUGAUGGAAUAUAGGCAGGAAGGUUCAAACUCUACUGCCAUACCACCAACAUUUGCCUUUGACAUUGUGGGCCAAUUUAAAAUAGGAGACAUUGCUUUUGAAGCAGACCUAGUAUAUGCACCUAAUGUUACAUUCAUGCUCAAAAGUUUCUAGAAAAGACCUCCAGUCCUAUGAACUCUGUUUACAGCACAGGAAAAAAAAAAAAAUUCUGUGCAGCCAUCAGCUUUAAAAACAUGAGUGCAGGUACACAUACACUGUUUGGGCAGUGAGAUACCAGAAGUCUAUAGGAUCCCAAUUCAGAUUUAUUUCCUUAAGUAGAAGGCUAUUCAUCUAAGCAAUUAUUAGCUGAAUAAUAAGGGGAUGGAAGACAGCGUCUCACCUUAGACCACAACAGCUAAGGAUAAAAUAGUAACAGUGACGGUGGCAGCUGCAUACACUAACAUUUUGCAUAGAAAUUCAUUUAACACGAGGCACAGAUACAGAGUUUUCUUUGUUUUAAAUAAAGAAUGAGGCGAUUAUCCCAAGAUGCAGUCCUCCCAAGAGAAACAAACUGAAAUGACAAAAAACCUGAAUGGUAAAUAUGAGGGCAGGAAGUACUAAAGCAGGAAAGUGGCUUCAAAUAUCAAAGGCUGUAUUUAGCAAGGUAUGAGUCAUACCUUACUACAUCAUAAAACUUCUGUCCUCAUGCUUGUGAAAGGAGGUUAUCACAUUUUCCUUCUUCCAUGAGCUACUUGUGCUGAUCUCAGUGUUUAUCCAACCUACUCAUAAAACAGUUAACCUACUGAAAGCAGCUAAUUAGCCAUUCUAAAACAGGCAGAGUGGUUGCACACAGCUCCCAGUUCCACUGCGCUGUUCAGGUUGAAUAAGAUUCAUUUUUCAGCCUAGUGACCUAGUAGUAAUGCUAGAGUACUUGAGGCAUUCUAAACCAGUAUUACCACCAGUGUCAUUGGGAUGGCCACAGUAUGUAGAUGCUACUCCACUCUGUUCUUAAACCUUCCUUUCUCUGUAAAACAGAUUAUCAAAAGAACACUAUUUGAUUUUGAUUGCAAUCUUUCUUAAUAAAAAAGAUUUAAAAGCUACCAGUGGGGCAAUUCAGUUUAAAAUGCAGCUGAGCAAUGAAAAAUAUUGAGUAAUGUAAGUACCACAGCCACUUUUGCUCCAUGAAACUGCUUAGGGUGUGCAACACACUACCAAUUUCUGUUAUUUUCAAACUCUACCAGUGCAAAAUUACAGUGAGAAAAAGAAUUUUGUAGCUUGAAAUCAUGGCUUGAAAUUGCUUGGAGAAGACUAUACCAGAACACAUGCUGCACAUCUGAAUAAUGCAGAUGGAAUGUAAUUGUCCUCUUAUUCUGUGAAAGGAAGGUAUAGCUCACAGCCUGCUUGAUAGUUGAAAGGAAGCUAUAAAGCUGCAGGAGAAAGAAUUUGUUAUAUUCUUCCCAGUAUUUUUUAAACUUCUCUAUUAUUAAACUGAAGCACUGACUCAUCUUGAUGAUCUGUUAAGAACAUUUGUAAUGAAUGUGCGCAGAGUAAACAAGAAGCCUCUUCUUACCAUCUGUGCAAGCACUGAUCACAAUAGAAGAGCCUCAGACCCAUAAUUUUCAGCGUUGCAAAACUUUUAGAAUGAAACCGUGUUUAGCAGAUCUCCUAGUUACAUAGCAGAAGGUGGUCCCAGCUCCUACUUGGCACAUACAUACUUAUAUAUAUAUAUAUACACAUAUACAUAUACAUAUGCAUAUAUCUAGAUAGAUAUAUAUAUAUAGUUCUAGAAGAGGUAAGAAACAGCAUUUUUUUUUUUUUUUGAGCUCUGAUUUUUUACAUUUACUGAGAACUAUACCACUAGAUUUUAUAUAGACUGAUUUAAUAUAGAACUGAAUACAUACAUAUAUCUUAUUGUAUUAGUUUGGUAUGAUAGGUGUGCUACCAAACUGGAUGUGAAACCCACACAAAACAUCUUGCCUAUCAUUUCCUGGAUCUUUAUUUUUGCCUUUGUUGACAGUUGCCUUUAGAAAAAACAACAACAACAAAAAAAAACACUGCUGCGCAAUCUUGAUAACUAUUAGCUAAAUCUGCUAAAAUGUCUGCCCUUUGGCUGUAGAAGAUCAUGAAUUAUCCAUUGAAGAAGAAACAGUGAUUAAGACCACCACAGUUUCAGCUGUGGACAUGUUACACUUCCAGUAACACUACAUUUAAUCAAGAGCCUAUAUUUCUUCUUGGAAACUAUUCAUGUUCUGUUGUAGAAAUUUUCAGCAACUGAGUUGCAAUGCUGUUAUAUGGAUAUGUUUCUACAUUAAAUUUGUUCAAAAUAUCUAAAUAGCUGAUGCUAAUCUUUUAGCAGUUAUUUGUAUUACGAGUAGCAUUCAGAGUGCAAUGUAAAAUACACCUAUAAGUGCACUUGUUUACAAAGAUGGAGGAUGGCCACAUUUACCACACUGAAAGUGCUUAUAUAUUUCUGUGGGUGGUUAUUUUUUAUUUAUUGCUGCACACAGCUGAUGUGAUCGCUGUUAGUGAAUCACAUUUAUAAGUUAUUACGGGAUACUGAUGGCAGUAGCAUAUUUAAGACUGAGGAAAGCUUAUUAUUUUGUAUAUUCAAUUGAUACUGUAUGUGUUUAUUUAAGCAGUAAAUGCCCAAACAAGCCUGAAUACAUAAUGCUGUUUUCAACUGCAUAGUCACACUAAUUUUUAUUUUAAGAUUUGUGACUUUCUCCUCCACAGGAAGCAGCAGCCUUAGCAGUCUAAAUUCAAAGACUGCUCUCAUAUCACCUUAUUAAUAAAGCUGUCUAUCACAGCUCUGCGCUUACUUUUUGCUACAGAUUUGCUCUUUAUUUUUAUAUAACAAAAGGUUCACACAGUUUUAAUCCAUCACCUGCUGUAUUAAGAAUAAAACUGAGAAAAAAACUAAAAAAAAUUGUGUUUAAAAUCAAGUUAUAACUUAAAACAUUGUAGGGAAAACUAACAUAGGUUGGUUAGAGGCAAUGAAAGUUGUUAGCAUGUCGCAGGAUACACCAAAGACUGACCUGUGGUUGGUGUCUGAUAUAAAUUCUCCAUCAUUCAUCACCAAGUUCAGGAGGACUCCAUACAAAAACAAAGGUCCUCAAAUGACUGUUGGUAAAGCCAUACUGAUAAUCAUCUUCUAGAGGAAGAAAAUAAAACCUGUGUAUUUCAUUCUGUAACAAGUGGGAUUUCCUUGGCAAACACAGUUGGGCAAAAACUUUUUAAAAGGGAAAAACAUGUAUUUGCUGCUAUAUCUAAAUUUCAAUCUAGACAAGGAAAGACUGCACGUUCAAGUGUCUUAGUUAUAUCAUAUACAGAUCUAAAAAUUAUUUUAUUAUACCUAUAAUAUCUGGGUUGAUGUAAGAACACUCUGAAGUGGUGCUUACAAGCUUGAACUGAAUAUCUCACUUCAAGUCCAGUAUUGUAUUGUAUUGACAUAGCAGAGUUUGGAUCCGCAUUGUAUCAUCUCUGCACAUAGAUGUUUUUUUUUUUUUGUUUUUUUUUUUAGGUCAGUGAUAUUUUUAUUGGUCCCACACAUCUAGAAACCAGAAAUUCUCACAGCUAAUUUUGUCGUUUCUUGCAUAAUAUACGUUUUAAAGAUAAGAUAGAAAGAUCACAUUGCCAGCUGAUUCAAAGUGUCUCUUUUAGAUAAUCUGAAAGAAGAAUCUAAAUCAGAAAAAGUGUGCCUUCUGCAAGCAACACACCUUAGAUGAUCGUUUUACUUUUUAGCAAAUUUUUUAGCAAAGUAUCUGUUCAUUACAGUAGUUGAAAUUUAAUGUUCUGGAAAGUCUUUAUUUUUCCAUGUAACUUAUAAAUGACAGGGGAAAGAAAUCCAGACUGUUCCAUUUUCUUUUUGUACCUGUUUUACGUAUGUUGUAUUUAUGCAGCAGCCUUCUGCAGCACAGCCCAUCAUGUCACUGAUCAGAUGGCUUCAGCAGCACCAGUUCAACACAUCACAUGGCCGUGGGGGGUUUCUGGUCACCCCCUCUCACUAAGAGGAGCUCCUAUCAUUGGCCUAAUGACUGCAGGUCCGUGAGUUUCCCAAACAACUAAAAAUGCUGAGUUCUGAUAGGAGCUGUAGCUUGACCUCAGAAAAUGCAUAUUUAUUCUGCCCCAUGUAAACCAGCAGCUGAUCACUUCUGCCACCUGAUGCUUGGUAAGAAAUAUAUGUAAAGAUCCCCUCUGCCACCAAAAUCCAUACGGAAGCCCGUAUUUCCAAGACUUAAGACAAUAGAUGCCUGGAUAUGCAUAUGCUCCCAACUGGCUGUCAUACAGGGUUAUUAUGCAGUGCAGGAGCCAGCCUCCAGAGUUAGCCAGCUUCCCUUUGCUUUAUUUACUCAGUAAUGUCAGCCCCAUUCUUGAGCUAGGAACCUCUGCAACAGCAGCAACUGUGACAUUGUUAAGUAAGUCAGGCAAGGGUAAUUACCAGCUUGUUUACAUAUAAAGAUGAUCUGUGAUGAGAAAGACAACUCAGGAAAAGUACAGCAUGAUUAACUACAGGUAAAACACCAGACUGUUUGUUUAAGCUUUCCAUUGAUACAGCAGUAAUUCUCUCUCUCUCUCUCUCUCUCUCUCUCACAAGAACCGCUGCACAGUUUACUCUUUCAGUUUUUCAACAUUUUUAAAUCAAAACUCAGCAUCUCUAUCACAUGCAUUUUUCCCUUCAUAGGCUAUCUAUGUUGCUAGGUUGAGUAGUAGCUGAACAGCUCUCCCAUGCAGACACAUUACAGAAGUAUAAAAUAUCACCACCAUUUAAUGAGACUGGUGAGUAUGCCUUUGUUACAGCUUUUGUUUUAAAUCCAGUACUGUGGCUGCCUCCUAGGGCCCUGAAGUAAGCACUCUUUAAAAAGAGCGACAGAUUUAUUCCUCCACUCUGAAUAAGUGAAAAUGUGUUUUGUUGAAACCUCCAGAGAGUAACUGGCUUUACUAUAGAAUCCCCUUUUGUUUAUGGGCUUGAUGAAAACAUUUGGCAUUUAAUGAUUCCCAGGCUAUUCCAAGUUUAAAAAAAAAAAAAAAAAAUCAAGUGUGCUGAGUGUUAAAAUGUUUUCCACCAACCUUAAAGCAAAUUUAAUAUAAAGACUUGUUUCAGGUAUCAAAUUAGGGUGGAAAUGUUAUGCUUACUGACUCCUACUUUUUAGCAUUUAGACUCAGUAUAAUGCCACACGUUGUUCUUAAAACAGCGUGGGGUAUGAGGGAGACCUACAGAGGUGGCCACCUGAAAUCCAACCAUUCUCCUCUCAGCUUUAGCUUUAUCAUCUGCUGCUCCUCACAUCUUCAAUUUCUUCACAAAAAGAACUCAGAACUAUUUCCAUUUAGAGUAGUCAGGAAUUUACCAGCAGAAAACUUUUAAAUGUAAAACAUAGAUAAUGGUUUUUUCGGGUUUGGUUUUUCCUUUGGAGAAGUAACCACUAACCAGUCACUUCCCACUUAGACAUCGUAGAUUUCUCUUUAAGAAAAGCUGAGGUGUAAUUUGCUCAUCUUAUCCUGCUCUCUAGCCAAUAUAUUUCUGCUUCUCAGCACUUCCUCCUUCUAAGCCACCUCAUGGGCUCUGUUCUUAAUAUCAGUCUUUACUUACAGAAACUGCAAAACAUAUUCACAACCAUGCAGAAUAUAGCACGUGAAGUGCUUACUUAGUUUUGUGGGAAAGGAUCCUAGGGCUGAAUGGCCUUAGAGAUACUUUUUUUUUUUCUAUAGAUGGAAAAGGUAAAUAGCCUGGGAAACUUAUCUUUAAAAACAAGAAUAACUAUUUUAUAUUUUUCCUUUCAGGGAAACAAAAUUUGUACAGAAGACAUUUAUGUUAUUUGCAUGGAUCACUAGGCAUAAAGAUGACUGACACCAUAUAACAACUGGGCAUACAAAAGAAUCACUCUAUCAAAGAAGUGACUACAUACUUUUAAAAUCCAAGAGCCACUGAAUAUUAUAUGCAGCAGAUGAAGACUUCUUCAGCUGGACAAAAAUUCCAGACUUCUAAAGGAGGAAAACUGUUACAUUUGAUCUCUCAGGGUAACCACCUCCUGAGACCUAAGUUCUUGCAAUCUUAGCCUUGUUUUCCCAUAAAAACACAUAAAAAGGGGUUUCUAAUAAGAAACCCAUACAGGAGCUCAGGACAUUUCUCUCAUGCAAUCCAUUAAUUACCCAAAGAAAACCAAUCAUUAUAGAUCUAACAUUGACUUUAGCUUGUCUCUUGCUUCAUAGCAUUUAUUAUUGUUUACUGAAGACAUGAUGCAAUCCUGGCAAACCAUCCAAACCAGCACCCACCUAGUUCCAGCAUGUGUUACUGACUGAGACAGACAGCCAUUCUCCAAGUCAUCAGUUGUUAAAGCCAUUGCAAAAAUCACCAUGAGGUGAUUUUUAUUACUCACCACACUCUUGGGAGGGAUUGCUCCUAAACUACCAGUUACCCCACCUUAAAAUAACUUUUCCUUUCAUGUACUUGGAAAUGCUGCAGCAUAACUGAGGUCAGAGAAAGCAAAAUAAACACCAUCUUUGGUCUGCAUAUCAUUUCACUCUCAUGACUUCCUCCUUUGAUGCAGUUUAAACCUGUUGCCUACAGACCACUGAAAGAUCCUAACUUAGGACUAAGAGAAAUGCAAAAGAUAAUCAUGGAGCUCUAUGCUUAUGAGCCACUAAACUAGCCCAGUUCAUAAUAACAAGGACUUUCCCCCUCCCUUCAGAAAGUACUUCAUGGAGAGGAGCAAUAGGAACCAAAGACAGACACUACAGAAUAUUAUUGCUCUAUUUUCUCACCUGUGCAUUGCUCUGACAUUUUCACACAACAGUGCUCUCAGGGAGAGAACAAGAAGCCCAACUCAGCUUCACUGCACUCUAGAACCCCGGGGAGGACAUCUCCCUGUCUACCGGCUGGAGGAAAGAUCUGAAGGAACAUUGAGAUUUAGCACCUGAUUUGUUGUUGUUGUUGUUGUUUUGUUUUUUGCUUUUUAAAUUAACUUUCCCCUUUUCCUCCGGUUUUUCUUUAUUUGCUCUCCUUAAGUGCCAAAAAAGAUGGCUUAUGCUAUUGAUGAUUUGUUCACUGACAUAGCCAUCUCUUUCCCUCCCCAGUAAGGCAGCAGAAUCCCAGCAAUUUUUCUCCUUUCCUAUCAGUUUAUGUAGCUCACCUAACCAUUGUGCUACUCAGACUUCUAAAACAGUUAUAAAAUUAAGGAUAACUUAGGUCACGGCAAGUUACGUUCCAGGAAGCCUUAAUUCAUAAGAGAUUCACUGAAGUUCUAUCACUAACUAAUGGUGACUAUUUAAGCAUACAAAAGCAUCUAUUACCAUUGUUCCUGAAUAAGUUCAUUCCUUUGCUAGGACUUCCAUCUCUGCUACAGAUGCUGAAUUUCUGUAUGGUUCAUGCAACAGAGGUUACUUCCAGUAACACAGGGUAGAGGGGAAAUUGCCAUAUCAGUCUCCUUUUCUUUUCCCGCUAUGGAAACUAUCUAACCUUACAGGAAAUACAUGAUUUAUGAGCCAAAUUCAAUUCAUUAAAAUUUCAUAAACAAAUAGCACAAACAGGAUAUGAACAACACAGGUUGUACUGAAAACCCAAAGGCAAUAAUAUGUAUGUCUCAGUAUUUUACUUCAUGUCCACUUUAGUGCUAGCUUGGUCCCAGAAACUGAUUACCUAUUAUCAUUCAGACACAAAUUAAUGUGCUCUUCUUCGUGGCAUUCCUCACUAUUUUGUGUCCUUGCAAAGGGGUACAAUCCUGAGUUUUCUUUCAAAAACACAUCCCUGGCUCAAGGGCAGACCAGUAGGCUCCAUUGACAUCACAGCCAUUUUAAGAUGAGGCAUAAGAUAAGGAGGAAAGGAGUUAGGGUGCAAAGUCAUGCUGCUUAAAUAACAGCAACCCAGCUUAGACAUCCAAGGAAUCAUAGCCACUGCUGUUGUUACGUAGUUCUUAUGUUUUAUGUUCAAACAACCACAAAGGAAAAACAGAUGCAGGUAUAUUUGGCGGUACACAUUAAAACAUCUCAGCAAACAAAGGCAGGCAAAAAAAAAGAGUUGCCCUUUUAGGAAUACUCUGUUAGAUCUGGCAGCAAGGAGUGGGAGGAGGUCACUGGUAUGCAUUCACUUGUGCCACAGAAGAGAAAGACAAAGCAAAAGCAGAAUAAAUUAACUAAAAAGUUUAUCUUCUAUUUAUCUUAGGUUUUGUAUUAAGGCUAAUGUUUUAAUGGAAAUUGGGUGAUAGUUCUUUCCUGCACUUUCAGCAACUACUGAAUAUUAUUUUGAUCCCACUAACUGCCUUCUGAGGAAGGUACACACCAGGUGCUUGCAAGAGAAGACUUUUCCUGGGCCCUAUUAACAUUUCAACGCUUAAAACAAAACCAUGUCUUUUCUGCAGCCUCUUUGCCAAGUACUUCUGGCACUUUCAUACCUGAGUAUGAGCUAAAGCAAAACUAUUGGCUGCCUUCCAGAUUAAUGAGUUUCCAGUCUCUAAUGAAAAGACAAAACUGUAAGAAGUGCAACACUCUGCUUUUGAGUUGUUUGCAAACACAUCUGCCUGAGAAGCAGCAGCCAUCAGACUACAUUUGACCUUUAUGAGAUCCUGUCUCUCUCCCCUCCCUCCCCUUUUUUCCCCUUUUUGCCACAACUUUUCCUAUUUAAAAAGAGGAGGAUUACCAGGCUAGCAUUAAAAACAAACAAACAACAACAACAACAAAAAAACAGUAAGAACCACUCACAUCUACUUGUCCUUCACUCUACUUGUUUCCUUUUUCUUCAUUUGGUUAUGGUCAUCCACAGAACAGCAGCAGCUGCAGCUCUGCACAGUUCAGCUGUAACUGAUCUAACUGAGGCAUCAGAAUGCUACUAAUGUUCUCACUGCUAAUUCAUACUGCUAUCAUCAGGGCUUCAAAUACAAAAAUGGAUUUUUGUGAUUUUACAGAUGAAUUUGCUCCCAUCUUGGUGUAAUUUUACAAGUGCUUUUUGAGAAAGCAGUCCCCAAGUUCACUGAGGUAAAUCCCAGAGCACCACAUUAGUCACAAGGAAAGAAGAACCAGCAAAGAGAACAAAAAUAUCUAAUACAAUGGGAACCCUCCCUUACAAUACAGUCACAGAAACUCCAAGAUGCUCAAGUUCUAAUAGUGCCAAGAUAUAAACAGCUAUUUAUGAUCACCUUCCUGCACACUGGCAUAAGUCUUUCUAAGCAGUUCUUUGGGAUUGUCACCCUAUGCCUGCAAAACAUAUUAAAACUAUCUUCUCCUAGAAUUGUUUAAUUGGUAUUAAUUACAUUUAAUGCCUGUUACACUCAUUAAGCACAGCUACUACUCAUCCUGUAUCGGUGCUUUCUAAAACAUAACUGCAGACAACAAGAGUACUGCUGGAUCACUCAGGUCUGCUGCCCCCUUGUAUGUUUGCUACAGCACAACAAAUUCAAGGUACAACUGAGCAUCCCAUGAAGUUAAAGAAGUCAGAGUGCCUAUAAGGAAAAUUUCUGCAAGUAUUAGAAGUUCAUCACCAACACUAAUACACAAUCACUUCAGUUUUUAGAGGAGGUUAAAAAUACAUAGGUAGCACUGAGGAAGUACUCUUAGGUUUGUAUUCUGUCUUCUUCCCACUUGUCCUAUCUUGUAUAAUGCCUAACUCUCCUAUGCAAUAAAAUGCCAAAACUUGGCAGUUACUUCUUCACAGAAGUUUCUGGAAAUAGCAGCUGCAAUAACAGAAGCUGUCGAGACUUUCCUUUUACAGGCCUGCAUCAACCCCACUGAACACGACUUGCUGCAUUCUCUAGAUGUACACAUGCCAGCAAGCUCAUUCUGUUGUUUUGAACUAGGAGAAAAGACCUCUACACUUAUUUUCCUCACCACCACCAUCUCAGAGCUCAUAGAACUCCGAGUUUUGCUGCUGGAAUGUCCAUGAACUUGGAGGAGCCUGGUUUCCUGACAUCAGAAAGCUGUUCUACCAAAGCCACAGUAUGACACCAGUGCAACUUAAAGGAUGUCACAAACUCCUCCAGGGCAGCACUGGCUACAGACAGAGGUUAAAUUUCGUCAUCACCAUGGAUACUCAGGACAAUAUUACAAUAGAGCAUUAGCACUGCUGAUCUCAGGAGCACCAGGUGAAAUGACAGCUAUUCUGGUGUAACAGAAGAGAUAGGAGCAGUAAAUUACUUUUAAAAAUAAAAGCUUGCAUACAAGUUUCCAUCAUUAAAUCGUUGUAGAAUGACACUGUAUAUGUAUUUACAGUACGUCCCUUUUCAUAACCUGUCUUACAGUGAUGCCAGCUGAAAGGAAACACACACACAAGUUUUCCUCAGCUCCCCUAGCCACCGAGCAGCUGUUCCUCUGCAGAAGAGGAGAACAAGGAGAGGGCUCCUCAACGAAAACCAGUUCCAUUACAGGUGGACAUCUCCCUAACUACAGCCCCCAUACUGUGGGCAUGCCCAAGAACACAGAAACCAUGCUCAUGAAAAACACCUAGCGAUAUUAACUCACCAACAGGAAUGGAAAAUGCCUUCAUGUUUUGCCUACACUCAAAUAUACUCUUGCCACUCCAGCUCCAUAUCAAAUACAGAGCAGGCUAGCAAAUUACAGAAGCUGGAGCAGAUCUCGUUAAUAGGUAUUUGACAGAAAGCGCCUCAAUAAUGCACAAAUCUUGUAGGUAAACUUCCUUCUGUUUUGAGUUGAAUGAAUGAGGCCUUGUCCCUUACCUCAGAUGUGGUGAUAGGGUCAACUACCCAAUACCAGUAUCAAAGAAACACAGUAAUAAACAACAGAAGACAAACCAUGUUAGGCCAUGCUGCACAAACUGUAAAUUCAACAACAGCAUAAAACCAAUGAUACUUGGAAUGCUAUCAAAUCAACAGAAAAAGUAUUUUUGCAGUGUUCAGACUGCUUCCUCUUGUGCAGGCUUGGAAUAAAACAGUUUAUUCAACUGUGAGAUCCAGAGAGAUUUAGUAAAAACAGCAUGGAAGGAAUGCCAUCACAGGCAUAAAUUAAGAGCCUCAUUGGUAAACAAAGCUACACAGUUCUCAUCCCAUUAGCAGACAAACUUGGUGAUGUUUUCCAGCCUUAAUGAUUCUGUGAUUCUAUGUUUGAGAAGUCUUCUGAACUCUAGUAUAUGGGGCACAAUAAUGGAUGCAAGAGGCCAGGCUGAUGCCAGGCUUGCUGGGAACAUCUGACCUUAAAGAUGCCACCAGCUGAAAAACAGCUGUAUCAUGAAGCAACUCAUGACUCCAGUUAACUGAGUCCUUAUAGAAAAAUAGCACAUGCCUCUUCAUGCACCUGCAAUACGAACCAAAAAAAUUAGCCAGAAAUACUGGCCUUUCAGAGGUACUCAAGUGAACAUGCUUACAAUAGGAAUUUACUUUACAAAGUGUUGUUUGCCAAGUUUGACAAAGUUUGACUGCCAAAUGCUGCAGAUCUAAACAAGCUAUAAUGGUUGCCCACAUCCGACUUACAGCAUUGAAAUUAAUCGUGUGUUGCUGUAAAUCCUGAAAUCUGUGCUACCUCCUUACAGAGGAAUCCAGAUACGUGGCCCAGAACUUAAAAACCUCUGGAUCAGCUCCUAGUGAAACUCCCCUGAGGUGAUCAGGGAGGCUUUAAUCUUUAUCACCCACCAGGCUAGCAAAUUAGCUCUGAGAGGAGCUCUUCUAGGUAGGCAGAUACUGACUGACAUCCAGUUAGGCACAGUAAUACCACCCUGCUGCUUGGCAGCAGGCAGGGCAGUAAGCAACGCAACAUGUGGGCAUCAGGUUUACAAAGUUGAUUGGAGGAUCACCACCCAACACCAGUUGGGAAGACUGAAAUUCUAAUUAAUCUGUUUAUGCAAGCAAUCUAUUUCCAGCACUAGCAGAUAGUAUUUCAAGAAAAAUUUAAAACAUGACUAGUUGUGUAAGCAGCAUAUUUACUAUACUCAUAUUACCAGUGAUACCUAUGAGUAGCAUGUUUAGAAUGGACUUGAAAACAGAAAACCAGUUCUUUCAGAACCUCCUUAAUAUUUAUAGCUCUAUUGGAGGCAUAGUGUCUACCCUCCACCUGGGGAUAGAUGAGGAGCUGACAGAGAGCUUAUGGGUUAGGGUUAAAAGACACAGGGGAAGGAGACACUGUAGUGGGAGUCUGCUACAGGCCAACCACCUGGUCUGGAAAACCAAGCAGAUGAGGCCCUCUACAAACAGAUAGAAGCAGCUUCAUGUUCACAAAACAUGGUCCUCAUGGGGGAUUUCAGCCAUCCCAAUACUUGUUGGAGGGACAACACAGCAGAGCACCAGAAAUUGAAGAUGUUCCCGGAAUGCAUUGAUGAUAACUUUCUCUUCCAAGUGGUACAUGAACCCAUGAGAAAAAUGCUAUGCUGGACCUUGUUCUCACUAAUGAGGAGGGACUGGUGAGUAAUGCAAAGCUCAAGGGCAGCUUUGGCUGCAGUGACCACAAAACAGUGUUGUUCAAGAUCCUUACGGCAUCAAAGAGGGUAUGCAGCAAGCUUGCUACUCUGGACUUCAGAAGCACAGACUUCGAACUCUUCAGGGAACUGCUUGGCAGGGUGACAUGGGAUAAAGCCCUGGAGGGAAGAGGGACCUAAGAAAGCUGGUCAGUAUUCAAGGACCAUCUCCUCCAAGCCCAGAAGCAUUGCACCCUGAGAAAAAGGCAGGCAGGCAGGCAAGAGUGCCAGGAGGCCUUCAUGAAUCAACUAGGAGUUCCUGGACUUCCUUAAGUAGAAAAAUAAAGUAUAUAGGGAAUGGAAGCAGGAGAAGGUUGCCUGGGAGGACUACAAGGGAGUGGAAGCAGGAGCAGGUUACUUGGGAGGACUACAGAACAGUCGUCUGAGCAGCUAGGGAUCAUGUUAGGAAAGCUAAAACCUAGAUAGAAUGAAAUCUAGCCAGGUACAUAAAGGGGAACAAGAAGAAAUAUUACAGGUUUAAUUAGUGACUAAAGGUCAGGGAAGAUGUGGGUCCCUCUCUGGGAGGAAACUGAAUACCUGGUCACAAGGGAUAUGGAGAAAGCCAAGGUUCUCAAUGGCUUCUUUGCUUCAGUCUUCGCUGGCAAAGGCUCUAUUCAUGCUGCCCAAGCUGCAGAAAGCAAUGGUAAGAAGCUGGAGAAGAUCUGCUCACUCUAAGUGAAGAUCAGGUUCAAGACCAUCUAAAGAACCUGAAGGUGCACAAGUCCAUGGGAACUGAUGAGAUCCAUCCACAGGUUCAGAGGGAACUGGCAGAUGAAGUUGCCAAGCCACUAUUUAUCAUAUUUAAAAGGUCGUGGCAGUCUGGUGAAGUUCACACUGAUCGGAAAAGGGGAAACGUAACCCCCAUUUUCAAGAAGGGGAAAAAAAAAAGAUCCAGGGAACUACAGGUCAGUCAGUAUCACCUCUGCACCUGGCAAGAUCACAGAGCAGAUCCUCCUGAAGGCCCUACUAAGGCACAUGGAAAAUAAAGAUGAGGUGAUUGAUGAUAACCAGCAUGGCUUCACCAAGGGCAAGUCAUGCCUGACAAAUGUGGUGGCCUCUUAUGAUGGAGUCAUAGUGUCAGUGGAUAAAGGAAGAACAACUGAUGUCAUCUACCUAGAUUUGUGCAAAGCAUUUGACACUGUCUGACACAUCAUCCUGGUCACCAAAUUAGAGAAAAAUCAAUGUGAUGGAUGGAUCACUCACUGCAUAAGGAAUUGGCUGGAUGGUUACACUCAGAAAGUUGCAGUUAACAGCUCAGUGUCCAAUGUGCUGGGAUUGAUGUUAUUUAACAUCCUUGUAGGUGACAUGGACAGUGGGACCAGACUCACACUCAGCAAGUUUGCAGACAACACCAAGCUGAGUGGUGCAGAUGACAUGCUAGAGGGAAGGAAUACUAUCCAGGGGGAAUCAGAAUCACCAAGGUUGGUAAAGACCUGUAAGAUCAUCCAGUCCAGCCAUCCACUUAUAACCAAUAUUUCCCACUAAACCAUGUCCCU